rnacentral:tRNA from 1 species
CGGAAGGUGUCCCGCGUCUGGGAGGCGCAACAGACUUAUAAUCUGUCGUAGGGCCCGGCAUAUACCGGUGAGGUUCGAAUCCUACACCUUCCGU